GAUGAACGCUGACAGAAUGCUUAACACAUGCAAGUCGAUGGGGAAGUGGUGCUUGCACCAUGGCAACCAUGGCGGACGGGUGAGUAACGCGUAAGGGACUUACCUGCAGGACUGGGAUAACAGGGGGAAACUCCUGACAAGACCGGAUAAUGUCAUGGAGCUGCAUGGCUUUAUGAUGAAAGGAGACGCCUGCGGAGAGCCUUGCGUCCUAUUAGCUAGUUGGUGAGGUAAUGGCUCACCAAGGCGAAGAUAGGUAGCCGGCCUGAGAGGGUGGACGGCCACAAGGGGACUGAGAUACGGCACUUACUCCUACGGGAGGCAGCAGUGGGGAAUAUUGGACAAUGGGGGCAACCCUGAUCCAGCAAUUCUGUGUGCACGAAGAAGGUUUUCGGAUUGUAAAGUGCUUUCAGCAGGGAAGAAGUAAGUGACGGUACCUGCAGAAGAAGCGACGGCUAAAUACGUG
rnacentral:rRNA from 1 species